AUGAGCUCUUGUGGUGCUAGGCAUGCACCAAUUGGUCCAAAGCAACAAAAAAUAAGGUUGUCAAAGGUUGAUGAGGGGAAAGGCAGUUUGGAGAACAUUGUGUUUGAUCAAGAUGUUGCUAGAAAAGAGCUUGUACUAAUGAUAUGUGUUCAUGAGUACCUUCUAUCUAUGGUCGAUCAUUCAGGUUUUCGGAAAUUUUGUUACAUGUUACAACCAAUGUUUAAAAUGGUCUCAAGGAAUACUAUUAGAAAAGAAAUUAUGGGUAUGUAUGCAGCUGAGAAGGAUAAGAUUGUGAAGUAUUUGGCAAAUUUUAGAAAUUGA
rnacentral:rRNA from 1 species